rnacentral:lncRNA from 1 species
UAUCAUUACCCUAGGUAUAUGUAUGAUUGCAUGAAUGCUGUGACUACUUCAUGCACAACCAGAGAAGUGAAAAAUUCUGCUCCAUUUAUGUACAAUGAAUAGAAGAACUUUCUUUCUACUGUCAUGUGUAGCUGAUGAGAACUAAUAAAUAAGUAAGUACAAGCUCCAAAUACAUUGCUUUUCAAGCUUUAUUUGUAAGGUCAAUAAGAAUGGUCAAAACGUGAAAAAUAAUGGUUGAAAGCCAUUCUAACACUUGAUUUUCCUGUGUGCAAUUUGUCUCCUCUUUCUACUAUAAAGAACAAAGCCAAUGAAUUAAAUUAUUUCCCAGCUCCAACCUUUUCUCUGAAAACUCACCUGUGGUCUGGGGUUUUUAGCUCAGCCAUAGAGUGCUUGCCUUGUAUGUAUGAGGCACUGGAUUUGAUCCUUAGCACUGCAAAAAUAAAUAAAUAAAAUAAUGUUAUUGUCCAUCUAAGACUAAUGUAUAUAUAUUAGUGUUCAUGUAAGACUUAUUAUAUAUAUACAUAUAUAUUCAGCUGUUACACAAUAUCUGCUUAAAGACUGCUGACAGCCUAGUGUGUACUUGUAGAGGACACUGGACCCCCUGCCACACCUACUGUAACAUCCCAAAUGUUAUAUUUGCAGAGUUUGUCUUGGUCUGAGCUACCAGCUAGAUUCCUAAUCCAGUAGUUUCCUGUUUCAGUUUCUGCUGGAAAGUUUUUUGUUUUGCUUUGUUUCAUUCUGGUGGUGCUAGGGAUUUAACCCAGACCUUGCAUGCUACAUGCCCAGUCCCUGCUGGAAAGUCUUAAGUGUCUCUCUACCUCUGGCUAGAGCUGGAAUGAUCAUAUGAUGUAUUGCCCAAACUCGGAUAGUUUUAAGAAUGAAAGGAGACGAUAAUCAUUUUACCUGAUAAUAGGCAUAAACCAAGCCUCCCUGAACCAAGGAGAACUUAUGGUCACUUUAGAUGGAGCUAAUAAAAGUAACAGGAAACUAUAAGUCUGCCCCAUUACAUAUUACUUUUUUAUGUAUUAUGCCAAUUCCCAAAAAUAAGGAAAUAAUGGACAUACUCCAUUAAAAUAAUUUCUCAUUUUCAUCUAUAAACCUAUUUGUGCCAAGGGUAAUUUUGUAUUAUACCCUGGUAUUCCAAGUUCAUACUUUUUCCUGCAGGUUACCUAUGACUUAAAUCAACCUAGCCACUAAGCUCAGGGAUCUUUUUGACAGUCCCAAUCUUAUUAUCACUGAUCUGAUUAUCAAACAGGAAAGCAAUAUAAAUGAUGGGAAAACACCAACAGAGUUAAAGGUAGGAAAACUUCUGUAAUAGAAAAGUGUAUGGAAAUUUACAGAAAUAAUUCCAAAAAUGCAAAGGGAGAGCACAGCAUGCUGGAGGUACAGGCUUUACACAUUAUCAUAAGGACUUACAGAUGAUACCAUUUAUGCAGGUUGAGAUCCUCCAGACAUGAGUUGCUCAAUUUGCCCUGUCAAAGGAGACUUUUAAUUUCCUGGUUCUAGAGCCUCUGAAUAUUGCCUCUUGUUUACCAAAGAAAUCCUAGAACAGGCCCUCAAGAUUUAAUGUGGAACUAGGUAAAGUAGAGUUCAAUUUCCUAAGUUUAAUAUCCUUCAGUACAACCAGCCUCCUCCCUGUCUGAUGUUCACUUCUAAUAGUUCCAGUCUUAUAAUUUUUUAAGUAGUGAAUCUUAAUUUAGACUAAAUGUUCCUUUUUCUGUUUGUUUGUUUUUGACCUAGGUAUUGAACCCAGGGGCACUUUAUUACUGAGCUACAUCAUCCCCAGUUGUUUUUAUUUUUUCUUAUGUAAUGGGGUCUCACUAAAUUGCUGAGGUUGACCUCAAACUUGGAAUUAUCCUGCCUCAACCUCUGAAAUUGCUGGGGCUACAGUCAUGUGCCACUGUGUCUGGCUAAAUGUUUUUUUGUUUGUUUGUUUGUUUUUUGUACCUGGGAUUCCAGGGAUUGAACCCAGGGGCACUUUACCACUAAGCCAC